UAGCGAAGGGGGCUAGCGUUGCUCGGAAUCAGCUGGGCGUAAAGGGUGCGUUAGGCGGGUCUUUAAGUCAGAGGUGAAAUCCUGGAGCUCAACUCCAGAACUGCCUUUGAUACUGGAGGAUCUUGAGUUCGGGAGAGGUGAGUGGAACUGCGAAGUGUAGAGGUGAAAUUCGUAGAUAUUCGCAAGAACACCAGUGGCGAAGGCGGCUCACUGGCCCGAUACUGACGGCUGAGGCACGGAAAGCGUGGGGAGCAAACAGG
rnacentral:rRNA from 1 species